rnacentral:rRNA from 1 species
AGCGAACGCUGGCGGCAGGCCUAACACAUGCAAGUCGAACGAUCCUUCGGGAUAGUGGCGGACGGGUGAGUAACACGUGGGAACGUGCCCUUUGGUUCGGAAUAACUCAGGGAAACUUGAGCUAAUACCGGAUGUGCCCUUCGGGGGAAAGAUUUAUCGCCAUUGGAGCGGCCCGCGUUGGAUUAGCUAGUUGGUGGGGUAAAGGCCAACCAAGGCUACGAUCCAUAGCUGGUCUGAGAGGAUGAUCAGCCACACUGGGACGGAGACACGGCCCAGACUCAUACGGGAGGCAGCAGUGGGGAAUCUUGCGCAAUGGGCGAAAGCCUGACGCAGCCAUGCCGCGUGAAUGAUGAAGGUCUUAGGAUUGUAAAAUUCUUUCACCGGGGACGAUAAUGACGGUACCCGGAGAAGAAGCCCCGGCUAACUUCGUGCCAGCCGCCGCGGUAAUAC